rnacentral:pre_miRNA from 1 species
CAUGUACUCCCUUCGUCCGAAAAUACUUGUCAUCAAAAUGGACAAAAAAGGAUGUAUCUAAAACUAAAAUACAUCUAAAUACAUCCCCUUUUAUUCAUUUUGAUGACAAGUAUUUCCGGACGGAGGGAGUACGUG